rnacentral:rRNA from 1 species
UCUCGCCUACGGGAGGCAGCAGUGAGGAAUAUUGGUCAAUGGGCUUACGCCUGAACCAGCCAAGUCGCGUGAGGGAAGACUGCCCUAUGGGUUGUAAACCUCUUUUGUCAGGGAGCAACGCCGGCUACGUGUAGCCGGACUGAGAGUACCUGAAGAAAAAGCAUCGGCUAACUCCGUGCCAGCAGCCGCGGUAAUACGGAGGAUGCGAGCGUUAUCCGGAUUUAUUGGGUGUAAAGGGCGUGUAGGCGGGAGCGCAAGUCAGAUGUGAAAACUCAGGGCUCAACCCUGAGCCUGCAUUUGAAACU